rnacentral:tRNA from 1 species
GGAAGCUUAGCUCAGUUGGUUAGAGCACCUGCCUUACAAGCAGGGGGUCACUGGUUCGAGUCCAGUAGUUUCCACCA